UUCACUUCCUAUAGGGACUGAAAACCAAGUGAGGAGAUGUACCUGGGAAGAUGGGAUGUGGAUGGAAAGAAAGUAACUUGGUUGUCUGAUCCUGGUCCCUGCUGGAAACAGAGGGUGUGUGACAGUCAGUGAGAGAAAGAAAGAAGGAUUGCACCACACUACACCAGAGAAUACAGAGAGGAUAGUCACUGCAGAUAGAUCCUGACCAUCACGCAAGGAACAACUGCACAACUGUGGUAAGACAUCCAGUCCCUUCUCAGCAUUGUUCAACACAGAGAAGGUUAAAACCAUUGUCUGGAAAUUGGUCAGGUCAGGGGAGCUUUGAGAUAUCAUCAGAUGUGAAACUGGUCAGUGGUGUGGAGCCUUCCAUCAGA